ACCAGAUGGACACUAAAUAACCUUCUUUCAUUUGUAUAACUUAAGGUGACUGUUGCUUCUCAUACUUUGCAACAGCAACAACUCUUUUGACAAGUGCAGUCAGAUUAGUCUGUCCAGCACUGGCCACUGUGUAGACCCAGAAGACAAGAGGGAGCCUGCAUUGAUUAUCAGUGUUUCAGCAAAGUCCAUUGUCAAAAAUGUGUCUGGUGUUGAAGAAGGAAAGCAGAGACACUCACAGAGGGUCUGAAGUUCAGCUGCCCCGUGGCUUUCCCGUGACCCCAGCUCACAGCUGCUGUCUGAAGUGAC
rnacentral:lncRNA from 1 species